rnacentral:tRNA from 1 species
AAGGCUUUAAGUUAAUUAAACUGAUAGCCUUCAAAGCUAUAAAUAUAGAACUAUAUCUUUAAGCCUUA